UACGUAGGUGGCAAGCGUUGUUCGGAAUUAUUGGGCGUAAAGGGCGCGUAGGCGGUUUGCUAAGUCAGUUGUGAAAGCCCGGGGCUCAACCCCGGAGGGUCGGCUGAUACUGGUGGACUAGAGUACGGAAGAGGUAGCUGGAAUUCCCGGUGUAGCGGUGAAAUGCGUAGAGAUCGGCAGGAACACCCAGGGGGAAACCAGCCGCCUGGGCAUCGACUGACGCUGAGGUGCGAGAGCGUGGGGAGCGAACCGG
rnacentral:rRNA from 1 species